UAGGUGCAUGCCUCUAGC
rnacentral:rRNA from 1 species